rnacentral:rRNA from 1 species
GACGAACGCUGGCGGCGUGCUUAACACAUGCAAGUCGAACGGUAAGGCCCUUCGGGGUACACGAGUGGCGAACGGGUGAGUAACACGUGGGUGAUCUGCCCUGCACUUCGGGAUAAGCCUGGGAAACUGGGUCUAAUACCGGAUAGGACUCCGGACUGCAUGGUCUGGGGUGGAAAGCUUUUGCGGUGUGGGAUGGGCCCGCGGCCUAUCAGCUUGUUGGUGGGGUGAUGGCCUACCAAGGCGACGACGGGAAGCCGGCCUGAGCGGGUGACCGGCCACACGGGGACUGAGAUACGGCCCAGACUCCUACGGGAGGCAGCAGUGGGGAAUAUUGCACAAUGGGCGCGAGCCUGAUGAAGCGACGCCGCGUGAGGGAUGACGGCAUUCGGGUUGUAAACCUCUUUCAGCACAGACGAAGCGCAAGUGACGGUAUGUGCAGAAGAAGGACCGGCCAACUACGUGCCAGCCGCCGCCGUAA